AGAAACAGAAGGAUUCUGCUUCCACAUGAUUCAAUCGUUAGGCCAUGCAGAUGAUCCUGGCAGGUUACGAUUGCUAGGCCAAACACUGCAUGGAUGAAUUUUAGGUAGCUGGUGGAUUUUUGGAGGUCUAACCAUAGGUAGCAAAGAAGGAAUAUAAUCAGUGGAAAUCUUUAUUAGUGUUAAUUGUAUGUUUUUUCACAUACGGGAAGUUUGUGUAAUGGCCAUAUGCCUAGAGUAUGUCGAUCUUGAUUUGUCUUGGCCAUCUGCACUUACAUAUUAUGUUAACAUAGAUUUUGCAACAACCUUAACAUAAAUAUGGCACCCAGAUUUGGUUACUAAUCCAUUAUUAAUUGGGAUGUGCUGAAUGAUCGAUUUUGCUCUUGGAACGGAGAUGUGUCCCAAAGCAUCUUUGAAAGGGAAGCAAGAAGAAGAAGAAGUAGUUUAUGAAGAGAAUUAAGGAUUGGGUGAAUCAAAUUGUAAUUCUCAUUUCUG
rnacentral:misc_RNA from 1 species